UGAGUAACGCGUGGGGAACCUGCCCUCGAGAUGGGGAUAACACUUCCAACGAGGUGCUAAUACCGAAUACGACCACGUUUCCGCAUGGUGAUGUGGUGAAAGGAUGGCCUCUGCUUGCAAGCUAUCGCUCGAGGAUGGUCCCGCGUCCCAUUAGCUUGUUGGUGGGGUAAUGGCCCACCAAGGCGUCGAUGGGUAGCUGGUCUGAGAGGAUGGUCAGCCACACUGGGACCGAGAUACGGCCCAGACUCCUACGGGAGGCAGCAGUCGAGAGGCUUCGGCAAUGGGGGAAACCCUGACCGAGCGACGCCGCGUGCGCGAUGAAGGCCUUCGGGUUGUAGAGCGCUGUCGUGCGGGAAGAAAGGUCCAACGGCAAACAGUCGAGGGACUUUGACGGUACCGCAAAAGGAAGCUCCGGCUGACUCCGUGCCAGCAGCCGCGGUAAUACGGGGGGAGCAAACGUUGUUCGGAAUUACUGGGCGUAAAGGGCGCGCAGGCGGCUUCGUAAGUGGGAUGUGAAAGGUCCUGGCUUAACCAGGGACGUGCGCCCCAUACUGCGGGGCUUGAGUGCAGGAGAGGAUGGGGGAAUUCCCGGUGUAGCGGUGAAAUGCAUUGAUAUCGGGAGGAACACCAGUGGCGAAGGCGCCCAUCUGGCCUGCUACUGACGCUCAGGCGCGAAAGCUGGGGGAGCGAACAGGAUUAGAUACCCUGGUAGUCCCAGCCGUAAACGGUGAACAACUAGGUGUGGGGGGCAUCGACCCCUUCCGUGCCGCAGCUAACG
rnacentral:rRNA from 1 species